AGAGCGAACGCUGGCGGCAGGCUUAACACAUGCAAGUCGAACGCUCGUAGCAAUACGGGAGUGGCAGACGGGUGAGUAACGCGUGGGAACAUGCCCUUUGGUUCGGAAUAACUCAGGGAAACUUGAGCUAAUACCGGAUAAGCCCCUUACGGGGGAAAGAUUUAUCGCCGAAGGAUUGGCCCGCGUCCGAUUAGCUAGUUGGUGAGGUAAUGGCUCACCAAGGCGACGAUCGGUAGCUGGUCUGAGAGGAUGAUCAGCCACACUGGGACUGAGACACGGCCCAGACUCCUACGGGAGGCAGCAGUGGGAAUAUUGGACAAUGGGGGCAACCCUGAUCCAGCCAUGCCGCGUGAGUGAUGAAGGCCCUAGGGUUGUAAAGCUCUUUCGACGGGGACGAUAAUGACGGUACCCGUAGAAGAAGCCCGGCUAACUUCGUGCCAGCAGCCGC
rnacentral:rRNA from 1 species